rnacentral:rRNA from 1 species
AUUGAACGCUGGCGGCAUGCCUUACACAUGCAAGUCGAACGGUAACAGGUCUUCGGAUGCUGACGAGUGGCGAACGGGUGAGUAAUACAUCGGAACGUGCCUAGUAGUGGGGGAUAACUACUCGAAAGAGUGGCUAAUACCGCAUGAGAUCUACGGAUGAAAGCAGGGGAUCGCAAGAACUUGUGCUACUAGAGCGGCCGAUGGCAGAUUAGGUAGUUGGUGGGAUAAAAGCUUACCAAGCCGACGAUCUGUAGCUGGUCUGAGAGGACGAUCAGCCACACUGGGACUGCGAAACGGCCCAGACUCCUACGGGAGGCAGUAGUGGGGAAUUUUGGACAAUGGGCGCAAGCCUGAUCCAGCAAUGCCGCGUGCAGGAUGAAGGCCUUCGGGUUGUAAACUGCUUUUGUACGGAACGAAAAGCCCCGGGUUAAUACCCUGGGGUCAUGACGGUACCGUAAGAAUAAGCACCGGCUAACUACGUGCCAGCCGCCGCCGUAA